rnacentral:rRNA from 1 species
UACGUAGGGUGCAAGCGUUGUCCGGAAUUAUUGGGCGUAAAGAGCUCGUAGGCGGUUUGUCGCGUCUGCUGUGAAAACUCGGGGCUUAACCCCGGGCCUGCAGUGGGUACGGGCAGACUAGAGUGCGGUAGGGGAGACUGGAAUUCCUGGUGUAGCGGUGAAAUGCGCAGAUAUCAGGAGGAACACCGGUGGCGAAGGCGGGUCUCUGGGCCGUAACUGACGCUGAGGGGCGAAAGCGUGGGGAGCGAACAGG